AAGAACCUGGCGGCGUGCUUAACACAUGCAAGUCGAGUGCGCGGUUGUAGCAAUACAACUGGCGCACGGCGCACGGGUGCGUAACACGUGGGCAAUCUGCCCUCCGAUGGGGAAUAACUCCGGGAAACCGAAGCUAAUUCCGCAUAACAUUCCCUGGACUUCGGUUCGGGGAUUCAAAGCAGCAAUGCGUCGGAGGAGGAGCCCGCGCCCGAUUAGCUAGUUGGUGAGGUAACGGCUCACCAAGGCUAUGAUCGGUAGCUGGUCUGAGAGGAUGGCCAGCCACACUGGAACUGAGACACGGUCCANACUCCUACGGGAGGCAGCAGUGGGGAAUCUUGCGCAAUGGGCGAAAGCCUGACGCAGCGACGCCGCGUGGGGGAUGAAGCUUCUCGGAGUGUAAACCCCUUUCGACCGGGACGAAUGCCCGCAAGGGAGUGACGGUACCGGUAGAAGAAGCCCCGGCUAACUACGUGCCAGCAGCCGCGGUAAGACGUA
rnacentral:rRNA from 1 species